UAACAGCAUGGAACACUGUCAGAGGUUAUUGGAGGAGCAUUCUCGUAUUUUAUCCAGGAUGUUGGACCAUUUGAGACACUCUCAGGAUAAUCAAAUUUUGACCAUGCUAUCAGAGUUACAUGACACUCUCUCAGAAAUGCUAUUGCAACUGGAAAUAAUCCUCCAUCCCCAGCUCACACCAGCAAUUCAAAUAUCGAUCUCUAGGUCCGGUGGGCGACCAAGGUAUGAUCUGACCAGAGAGCAGUUGACCUAGCUGAGAGAGACAGGAAUGUCAUGGACAGCUAUUUCUACCUGUUUGAGAGUGAGCUGUCGAACAGUACGAAGACGACGUCUUCAGUAUGGAAUUG